rnacentral:ncRNA from 2 species
UCAAUAGCAUAACUCCGAGCCUGAGUUAUCUAAGGCAAAGCUAUGAUUUUCAGGCCGAUAGGGUUUACCGAGAAAUCGGUAAGCCUCCCGUGCGGAAAGGAGUUAGGUAUUAUCCGG